rnacentral:lncRNA from 10 species
AAAGAACAAAUGGCAGAGGAAGAGAAGACUUGGUAGAUGGAGUCUCGUUCUGUCACCAAGGCUGGAGCACAACAUCAGCUCACUGCAACCUCUGCCUCCCAGGUUCAAGUGAUUCUCCUGCUUCAGCCUCCCAAGUAGCUGGGACUACAGAAAACAUUGUUGUUUGUAAUCACACUCUACAAACUUUACAAGAAGGGCUCACAUAUUUUUGAGGCUUUGCUAGCCAACCCAGAAGGAAGUGGUCUCCGAAUUCAAGACAAUAAUAAUCUUUUCCUGUCCUUGGGUCUGCAAGAGAAAAUUUUGAAAAAACUUAAGACAGUGGAAAACAAAAUGAAGAACCUAGAAGGGAUAAUCGUUGCUCAAAAACCUGCCACGAAGAGGGAUUGCUCCUCUGAGCCCUACUGCAGCUGCUCUGACUGCCAGAGUCCCUUGUCCACAUCAGGGUUUACUUCCCCCAUUUGAAAUGUGAUGGACUCCAAUCUUUUCCAGGAAAGCACUGUUUCCCUCAUGUGUGCAGUGGUGUAUCAAUAAAGAUAGAGAACGCUAUUGAA